GAAAUGCGAUAAGUAAUGUGAAUUGCAGAAUUCAGUGAAUCAUCGAAUCUUUGAACGCACAUUGCGCCCCUCGGCAUUCCGAGGGGCAUGCCUGUUCGAGCGUCAUUAUAACCCCCUCAAGCUUAAGCUUGGUAUUGGGGCCUGCUAUCCUGGCAGCCCUUAAAAUCAGUGGCGGUGCCGCCUGGCUCUCAGCGUAGUAACUCUUCUCGCUAUAGGGCCUGGUGGAUGCCCGCCAUCAACCUCUUAACUUUCUAUAGUUGACCUCGGAUCAGGUAGGGAUACCCGCUGAACUUAA
rnacentral:misc_RNA from 1 species